rnacentral:rRNA from 1 species
GACGAACGCUGGCGGCGUGCUUAACACAUGCAAGUCGAACGGAAAGGCCCUGCUUUUGUGGGGUGCUCGAGUGGCGACCGGGUGAGUAACACGUGAGUAACCCGCCCUUGACCUUGGGAUAACUCCACGAAACUCGGGCUAAUACAGGACAGGAGCUCCUGAUCCACGGUGGGGGUUGGAAAGUUUCGGCCGUUGGGGAUGGUUUCGCGGCUCAUCAGCUUGUUGGUGGGGUCGUGGCUUACCAAGGCUUCGACGGGUAGCCGCCCUGAGAGGGUGACCGACCACAUUAGUACUGAGGUACGGCCCAGACUCCAACGGGAGGCCGCGGUGGGGAAUAUUCCACAAUGGGCGGAAGCCUGAUGCAGCAACGCCGCGUGCGGGAUAACCGCCUUCGCGUUGUAAACCGCUUUCGCCUGUGAUGAAGCGUGAGUGACGGUAACGGGUAAAGAAGCACCGGCUAACUACGUG